AGAGUUUGAUCAUGGCUCAGAGCGAACGUUAGCGGCGGGCUCAACACAUGCAAGUCGAGCGAGAAAGGGCUUCGGCCUGAGUACAGCGGCGGACGGGUGAAUAACACGUAGGUAACCUUCCCUUGAGCGGGGACAACGGUCCGAAAGGACCGCUUAAUACCGCAUACGUUUCUCGGGACCUCGGUUCCGGGAAGGAAAGGCCCGCAAGGGCCACUCGAGGAGGGGCCUGCGUAGCAUCAGCUAGUUGGUGGGGCAAUGGCCUACCAAGGCGAAGACGCUUAGCUGGUCUGAGAGGAUGAUCAGCCACACUGGGACUGAGACACGGCCCAGACUCCUACGGGAGGCAGCAGUGGGGAAUAUUGGACAAUGGGCGAAAGCCUGAUCCAGCCACGCCGCGUGAGUGAUGAAGGCCUUCGGGUCGUAAAGCUCUGUGGGGAGGGACGAACGGCGCCGUGAAGAACGGCGAUUGACGGUACCUCCUUAGCAAGCACCGGCUAAUUCGUGCCAGCAGCCGCGGUAAUAC
rnacentral:rRNA from 1 species